AAAAGGUGAUGGACAAGCUGAAGCCAUCUAUGAAGAACCCAAGGAUGCCACAGUGUCUCAGGGCUUCGGCAACAUGAACGAUCCCAAGGACGACAAACAGGAGAUGCCACAAGACCUAAAAUAUGCCACCUUGGCCUUUAAAUCCAGACCCAGUCCCAGGGAAUCUGUCUACGCCAACAUCACGCCAAGUCGAGCUCUGGAGACACCCCACACCAGGUCCUCCACUGAGCCUGUGGAAUACGCCAGCAUUUCACUUAAGCCAUUAGCAUCAGGCGCCAAAUCAUGAUCUCGAGAACCCUGAAUAGCCCAGCAGUGGAACAGAAGAGACUGAGCUGGAACACUGCUGGGGUGGGGGAGCGUGUGUGCAUGCUAGAGAAGAAGUCUUUGCUAUGUUCAUAUUUAAUAUGUAUAUUUAAAGUCCUGCCUCAGGUCAGAGGCUUGCAGAGAAAUUUAUCACAGGCAAUUGGGCAAAAUGCAUCUGCUUUUGAAGAAACAGCACAGGAAGAUCAAGAGAACGAAGGAGAAUCCUCAGAGCUCAAGCUGGAGGAAUAUGGACGGGCAUUGUCAUCUCAAACCCACUCAAACAUUGUUUGUGUAAGAUUCUGACUCAGAUGUUACAGGGUUCCGCUUCCCCUUGGGAGAGUGACAGAGACUGAGCAGAGGGGGAAGGGGAAUAAAUAUACUGAUGAUGUGU